AUGUGGCUUUGUGGGGAAAGCGGAAAGCAGGAGCUUACUGCUGAAGUAACCGUGCAAUCAGAGCCAUUGGAUCACAGCCACUGGGAGAGCUCUCGAUCCUUGCCCCUGUCAGAUUGCUAAGUGAUUGACUCAUUGUUACGGAUACUGUUUGAUAACAAACCUGCUGGACGCAACCUUCGUGAGAAUAAUAAAAUACCAGUGGCUGACACUCCAUCAGCAAAAAGGAGAAAGAAACAGAAAACACAUAAAAAUGUAAUAACUUUCCAAUGGCCAUCCCCAGAAAAAAAAAGGCUAAAAAGUCCGGGGAAUGGGUAUUUAUUUAUUAUUAAUAUUUUUUUUAACAAAAAAAAAAGAAAAGAAAG
rnacentral:sRNA from 1 species